CCUGACUGCUAUCGGAUUGAUACUAAGCCAUGCGAGUCAUUGUAGUAAUACAAGGCAGACGGCUCAGUAACGCGUAGUCAACCUACCUUAUGGACGGGGAUAACCUCGGGAAACUGAGAAUAAUACCAGAUAGAACAUUAUGCCUGGAAUGGUUUAUGUUUCAAAUAAUUUAUUGCCGUAAGAUGGGACUGCGGCCUAUCAGUUUGUUGGUGAGGUAAUGGCCCACCAAGACUAUUACAGGUACGGGCUCUGAGAGGAGUAGCCCGGAGAUGGGUACUGAGACACGGACCCAGGCCCUAUGGGGCGCAGCAGGCGAGAAAACUUUGCAAUGUGCGAAAGCACGACAAGGUUAAUCCGAGUGGUUUCUGCUAAAGGAACCUUUUGUCAGUCCUAGAAACACUGGCGAAUAAGGGGUGGGCAAGUUCUGGUGUCAGCCGCCGCGGUAAAACCAGCACCUCAAGUGGUCAGGAUGAUUAUUGGGCCUAAAGCAUCCGUAGCCUGCUUUGUUAGUUUUCGGUUAAAUCCAUAUGCUCAACGUAUGGGCUGCCGGGAAUACUGCAAAGCUAGGGAGUGGGAGAGGUAGACGGUACUCGGUAGGAAGGGGUAAAAUCCUUUGAUCUAUUGAUGACCACCUGUGGCGAAGGCGGUCUACCAGAACACGUCCGACGGUGAGGGAUGAAAGCUGGGGGAGCAAACCGGAUCAGAUACCCGGGUAGUCCCAGCUGUAAACUAUGCAAACUCGGUGAUGCAUUGGCUUGAUGCCAAUGCAGUGCCGCAGGGAAGCCGUUAAGUUUGCCGCCUGGGAAGUACGUACGCAAGUAUGAAACUUAAAGGAAUUGGCGGGGGAGCACCACAAGGGGUGAAGCCUGCGGUUC
rnacentral:rRNA from 1 species